rnacentral:misc_RNA from 1 species
UACCCUUGACAUGUCCGAGAGCCCGCUGAGAGGUGGGUGUGCCCGAAAGGGAAUUGGAACACAGGUGCUGCAUGGCUGUCGUCAGCUCGUGUCGUGAGAUGUUGGGUUAAGUCCCGCAACGAGCGCAACCCUUGUCCCUAGUUGCUACGCAAGGGCACUCUAGGGAGACUGCCGGUGACAAACCGGAGGAAGGUGGGGAUGACGUCAGUGCUUGCCU